rnacentral:rRNA from 1 species
AGCGAACGCUGGCGGCAGGCUUAACACAUGCAAGUCGAGCGGGCACUUUCGGGUGUCAGCGGCGGACGGGUGAGUAACGCGUGGGAACGUGCCCUCUGGUUCGGAAUAACUCAGGGAAACUUGAGCUAAUACCGGAUACGCCCUUUUGGGGAAAGGCUUGCUGCCGGAGGAUCGGCCCGCUUCUGAUUAGCUAGUUGGUGAGGUAACGGCUCACCAAGGCGACGAUCAGUAGCUGGUCUGAGAGGAUGAUCAGCCACACUGGGACUGAGACACGGCCCAGACUCCUACGGGAGGCAGCAGUGGGGAAUAUUGGACAAUGGGCGCAAGCCUGAUCCAGCCAUGCCGCGUGAGUGAUGAAGGCCUUAGGGUUGUAAAGCUCUUUUAUCCGGGACGAUAAUGACGGUACCGGAGGAAUAAGCCCCGGCUAACUUCGUG